UGGGGAAUAUUGGACAAUGGGCGAAAGCCUGAUCCAGCCAUGCCGCGUGAGUGAAGAAGGCCUUAGGGUUGUAAAGCUCUUUUGGCGGGGACGAUAAUGACGGUACCCGCAGAAUAAGCUCCGGCUAACUUCGUGCCAGCAGCCGCGGUAAUACGAAGGGAGCUAGCGUUGUUCGGAAUCACUGGGCGUAAAGCGCACGUAGGCGGAUUGCUAAGUCAGGGGUGAAAUCCCGGGGCUCAACCUCGGAACUGCCUUUGAUACUGACAAUCUAGAGUCCGAUAGAGGUGGGUGGAAUUCCUAGUGUAGAGGUGAAAUUCGUAGAUAUUAGGAAGAACACCGGUGGCGAAGGCGGCCCACUGGAUCGGUACUGACGCUGAGGUGCGAAAGCGUGGGGAGCAAACA
rnacentral:rRNA from 1 species